rfam:Mesocricetus auratus contig031857, whole genome shotgun sequence.
UGCUCAGAUGAUACUAGUAACAGGAAGUGCCGUCCGAGGCGACGACUGACGACCUCCCUUUUGAGCUGAUC